AGACCCGAAACCCGGUGAUCUAGCCAUGGGCAGGUUGAAGGUUGGGUAACACUAACUGGAGGACCGAACCGACUAAUGUUGAAAAAUUAGCGGAUGACCUGUGGCUGGGGGUGAAAGGCCAAUCAAACCGGGAGAUAGCUGGUUCUCCCCGAAAGCUAUUUAGGUAGCGCCUCGUGAAUUCAUCUCCGGGGGUAGAGCACUGUUUCGGCUAGGGGGCCAUCCCGGCUUACCAACCCGAUGCAAACUGCGAAUACCGGAGAAUGUUAUCACGGGAGACACACGGCGGGUGCUAACGUCCGUCGUGAAGAGGGAAACAACCCAGACCGCCAGCUAAGGUCCCAAAGUCAUGGUUAAGUGGGAAACGAUGUGGGAAGGCCCAGACAGCCAGGAUGUUGGCUUAGAAGCAGCCAUCAUUUAAAGAAAGCGUAAUAGCUCACUGGUCGAGUCGGCCUGCGCGGAAGAUGUAACGGGGCUAAACCAUGCACCGAAGCUGCGGCAGCGAACGUAUCACUUAAAGCGAUUCAGCGGGUUACGAUUGACGGAGCGAAGCGACGUCAAAGCGUAUACAAAGUCGAGUCGGUUUAAGGAUACGUUCGUUGGGUAGGGGAGCGUUCUGUAAGCCUGUGAAGGUGUGUCGUGAGGCAUGCUGGAGGUAUCAGAAGUGCGAAUGCUGACAUAAGUAACGAUAAAGCGGGUGAAAAGCCCGCUCGCCGGAAGACCAAGGGUUCCUGUCCAACGUUAAUCGGGGCAGGGUGAGUCGACCCCUAAGGCGAGGCCGAAAGGCGUAGUCGAUGGGAAACGGGUUAAUAUUCCCGUACUUGGUGUUACUGCGAAGGGGGGACGGAGAAGGCUAUGUUGGCCGGGCGACGGUUGUCCCGGUUUAAGCGUGUAGGUGUGUGUUCCAGGUAAAU
rnacentral:rRNA from 1 species